GAUCCUGGCUCGGGAUGAACGCUAGCUACAGGCUUAACACAUGCAAGUCGAGGGGCAGCAUUUCAGUUUGCUUGCAAACUGGAGAUGGCGACCGGCGCACGGGUGAGUAACACGUAUCCAACCUGCCGAUAACUCGGGGAUAGCCUUUCGAAAGAAAGAUUAAUACCCGAUGGUAUAAUCAGACCGCAUGGUCUUGUUAUUAAAGAAUUUCGGUUAUCGAUGGGGAUGCGUUCCAUUAGGCAGUUGG
rnacentral:rRNA from 1 species